rnacentral:rRNA from 1 species
UACGAAGGGGGCUAGCGUUGUUCGGAAUUACUGGGCGUAAAGCGCACGUAGGCGGAUGUUUAAGUCGGGGGUGAAAUCCCAGGGCUCAACCCUGGAACUGCCUUCGAUACUGGACGUCUUGAGUCCGAGAGAGGUGAGUGGAAUUCCGAGUGUAGAGGUGAAAUUCGUAGAUAUUCGGAAGAACACCAGUGGCGAAGGCGGCUCACUGGCGCGGAACUGACGCUGAGGUGCGAAAGCGUGGGGAGCAAACAGG